AAAAACGACAGAGGUGGCAGCCGGCUAGGGCUGACCCAGCCUGAAGCUGAGGCGGCAGAGGACCACACACCAUGAAAUGUAAACACAAGAGCAAAUCCUAGAUGCCAGACUGGAAAAGAAGCAGGAGAGCUUCUUUCCAAACAGAGAUGCUGGAAUAUAAAACGAAGCCAUGUUCAGAUCCCAGAUUAUUUAUCUGCCUUGCUGCCACCAGAAUCAAUGUGUCUGAUUGUUUUCUUGGGAGAAUGAAGAAGGUAUUGCUAAUAAAACACAAGGUAAAUGCCACAUAACUUGCUACUCAUCAGUAACACCCAUGCACUGCAGAGAAAACUGUUCAAACUAGACUUCUCUGGGACUCUACAAUCAACCACUGCUGACUCCCUGUCUUCUCUCCGUAGUUAUUAAUAACCUAUGAUCUAUUGGUCUACUCUCCUGCCCAUCCUUCCCUUCCCCUAAGACCCACCUAUUUGAGCAGACUUGCCAAUAAAGAUCGUUUUCUC
rnacentral:lncRNA from 1 species